rnacentral:rRNA from 1 species
CACCUUAGUCGCUGACCUACCGUGGUUAGAUGCCUCCUUGCGGUUAGCGCACUACCUUCGGGUAAAACCAACUCCCAUGGUGUGACGGGCGGUGUGUACAAGGCCCGGGAACGUAUUCACCGCGGCAUGCUGAUCCGCGAUUACUAGCGAUUCCAACUUCAUGCACUCGAGUUGCAGAGUGCAAUCCGAACUGAGAUGGCUUUUGGAGAUUAGCUCACACUCGCGUGCUCGCUGCCCACUGUCACCAAA